rnacentral:rRNA from 1 species
AUUGAACGCUGGCGGCAUGCCUUACACAUGCAAGUCGAACGGCAGCACGGGUGCUUGCCUCUGGUGGCGAGUGGCGAACGGGUGAGUAAUACAUCGGAACAUGUCCUGUAGUGGGGGAUAGCCAGGCGAAAGCCGGAGUAAUACCGCAUACGAACUACGGAUGAAAGAGGGGGACCUUCGGGCCUCGCGCUAUAGGGUUGGCCGAUGGCUGAUUAGCUAGUUGGUGGGGUAACGGCCUACCAAGGCGACGAUCAGUAGCUGGUCUGAGAGGACGACCAGCCACACUGGGACUGAGACACGGCCCAGACUCCUACGGGAGGCAGCAGUGGGGAAUUUUGGACAAUGGGCGAAAGCCUGAUCCAGCAAUGCCGCGUGUGUGAAGAAGGCCUUCGGGUUGUAAAGCACUUUUGUCCGGAAAGAAAUCCUUGGCCCUAAUACGGUCGGGGGAUGACGGUACCGGAAGAAUAAGCACCGGCUAACUACGUG